rnacentral:rRNA from 1 species
GGACGAACGCUGGCGGCGUGCUUAACACAUGCAAGUCGAACGAUGAACCACUUCGGUGGGGAUUAGUGGCGAACGGGUGAGUAACACGUGGGCAAUCUGCCCUUCACUCUGGGACAAGCCCUGGAAACGGGGUCUAAUACCGGAUACGACUACUGAGGGCAUCCUUGGUGGUGGAAAGCUCCGGCGGUGAAGGAUGAGCCCGCGGCCUAUCAGCUUGUUGGUGAGGUAACGGCUCACCAAGGCGACGACGGGUAGCCGGCCUGAGAGGGCGACCGGCCACACUGGGACUGAGACACGGCCCAGACUCCUACGGGAGGCAGCAGUGGGGAAUAUUGCACAAUGGGCGAAAGCCUGAUGCAGCGACGCCGCGUGAGGGAUGACGGCCUUCGGGUUGUAAACCUCUUUCAGCAGGGAAGAAGCGAAAGUGACGGUACCUGCAGAAGAAGCGCCGGCUAACUACGUGCCAGCAGCCGCGGUAAUACGUAGGGCGCAAGCGUUGUCCGGAAUUAUUGGGCGUAAAGAGCUCGUAGGCGGCUUGUCACGUCGAUUGUGAAAGCCCGAGGCUUAACCUCGGGUCUGCAGUCGAUACGGGCUAGCUAGAGUGUGGUAGGGGAGAUCGGAAUUCCUGGUGUAGCGGUGAAAUGCGCAGAUAUCAGGAGGAACACCGGUGGCGAAGGCGGAUCUCUGGGCCAUUACUGACGCUGAGGAGCGAAAGCGUGGGGAGCGAACAGGAUUAGAUACCCUGGUAGUCCACGCCGUAAACGGUGGGAACUAGGUGUUGGCGACAUUCCACGUCGUCGGUGCCGCAGCUAACGCAUUAAGUUCCCCGCCUGGGGAGUACGGCCGCAAGGCUAAAACUUAAAGGAAUUGACGG